CACCUAUUGGCUGGUGGGACGCGAGGGCUUCACCAAACCCAUCCCCACCCCCCCCCGACCUCCUGCCUGGCGCCAGCAACCACGGGAUCAGCCUGGACGAGAUCCCGGCCGAGAGGAGGAAGAAGCUGGAGAAGGCUCGGCCAGGGCAGGUGCCCAAAUAGCCCAGGGCAUGACGGGACAGCAAACGCAACGCGCUGAUUGGUC
rnacentral:lncRNA from 1 species